GAGGAAUGGACACCAUGUCAAAGUGGAGGUUAAACUGCCAGGUUGAUUCAACUCUCUCGGUGUCGACCUGUAAACUUUGACGACUCAGUGUUUUCAUUCUUGGAUUCCUGCGAUGUCACCAAAACCACUUUUUUCAGACUUCAAAUGAUGCGUUUGUGUCCUGCUGUCCUCCGCGCCUGGUUCAGAUGUGUGCGAUGCUCCUCAAGAGAGGAACUUUCAAGGCAACAUAAGCAAAGUGUGAGAUAUAGAACAAACUGUGGACCAUGAGAGGAAGUUGUGCAGGUCCUAAGGAGAGAUGUUCCACAAUCUGUCGGCUGCACGAUUCUCGAGCUUCAGCCGACAUCUUUAGUCCAGAAAACCUUCGUGACCCGGAGGAUAUGUGCAGCUUUGUAAAGGUCUGAGAUGUAAAACGGGUCAAGACCACUGAGUGAAGAACAGCUGAACGCUGCACAGAUUCAGCGCGAGACGCAGCCGUGCCUCCUGAGAUGGCGGCCUCAGGGAACAAAUUACCCAUCUGCAGAUGACCGUAGGGCUGAUGGUGAUGUGUUUUUAUUUAUAGACAGACACAGAGAAAAACACAGAAAGCUCCCAACUAAUCAGAGACACCAGGGACUGAUGGAGACACAGGACGAGGACAGGAGCUGUUAGAGGACGUUCAUGUGCAGGUAGAGAACAGAAACUGUGAAGAGCCAGCAGAAUGGAUUCUCACUUCACUGCUCAAUUACAUGUAUCUCACUUUAACCUUAUACACUUUUACACAGCAUUGCUGGAUAGCUGACGAGCUGCAAUGCAGUGAAUCACACAGCGGAGGCAUCCGCAGGAAGUCCUCGUGUUUUGACAUGUUACUGUUUCAUAAACUCUGAAAUCAGAUAUUACUGAUGUGGACGGCCUCUAAACUCGACCUGAUCAAACUGAUUUACACUUAGCUGUUAAGUCUCAACGCCUUUUGUUGGUCAGAAGAAGAAGUUAAACUCUGAUUUCUUCAUCUCCGCAGCUUCUUGCAGCCUGGUGAGCUGCACAAGAUGCCGAUGUGUUGCAUACAUUCAAGUUCCCGUCGGGUGUUUCCCUUUUCCCAAGUUGGGAAGUCGUUCUUCCUACUUCUGUGUGUUCAUGAGCUUUAGGUCAUAAAGUGGAAACAACUUGGAGGCUGUGACGGUAACACCCUAAUAACAUAAUACAAAUUACA